rnacentral:rRNA from 1 species
UACGUAGGGUGCGAGCGUUAAUCGGAAUUACUGGGCGUAAAGCGUGCGCAGGCGGCGCGUUAAGACAGGUGUGAAAGCCCCGAGCCUUAACUUGGGAAUUGCGCUUGUGACUGGCGUGCUGGAGUGUGGCAGAGGGAGGUGGAAUUCCGACGUGUAGCAGUGAAAUGCGUAGAGAUGAUGGAGGAACACCGAUGGCGAAGGCAGCCUC